ensembl:lncRNA
CAUACCCCGAUCUGGUUACCCCUGCUGGUGAGCCAGACAGAUGCUCACUGUGUGAGUGAGUGAGAGAGAGAGAGAGAGAAAGAGAGGAGCAGGAUGUACAAGCUGCUGUGGUUCUGGACGAGCGUGGCUCUUCUGAUGUCCUGCUGUGGUGAGUAACGCCCGGUCCUUGACUGGUCCAUUGGGGGCACUGGGACGCUCCCACUGUCACUGACUGGGAAUAUCCCAGAGGUGGUUCAUAGAGGGACAGAAUUUUGAAGAAGAUUGACUUUUAUUAUUAAUUAUGAUGAUUAUUUACCGCUGUUCUUUUUAUUUGAUGAAUGCAUUCCAAUCUCGGCAUUCUUGUAGGCAUGAAAUCUGAGCAGGCUUGAUUCUUGAGUUGUGACUUAAGAAGAGAAGUGGUCAAGAGUCACAAGGGUUGCCAUGUGUGUGUCUUUGUGGUACUGUCUUGUACGUGUGCUGUAAAGGGGAUGUGGAGACUCAUGUUUGAGACGUCUUUAUUCAGCUGUCUGGAAGAUGUAGGUGUGUGUGUGUGUGUGUGUGUGUGUGUGGGGGCUUGUAUUUAUGUGUGUGUGUGUGUGUGUGUGUAUUUCAGUGUGUACUUGUGUGGGUGUGUAGUUUGUGUAUGAGUUUGUGUAGGAUUGUGCAUGUGUGUGCGUGUAGUAUGUGCAUGUGUGUGUGUGUGAGUGUGUGUGUGUGUGUGUGUGUGUGUGUGUGUGUAGUAUGAGUUUGUGCAGGAUUGUGAUAGUUGAUGGGCUGAAGUGAGGAAGUGGGGGAAGGAAGUGACUAAUCCAGCUAGAUUAAACUUGAAUAAUGUUAUUAUGAUUACCAUCUUUUUAUUCAGGCCUCCCUAUGUAGUGACCGUAGACAGGUAAAACAUGCAGUUCAAAUGGAGACAAAUUAGUUCCAAGAACCCCUUUAUUAAUAAGAAAUUAUGUGGAUGGGGGCAAGCUCCAAGAAUGGACUAAAUCCUUUGGGGCCAGAAGUUUGUCUACCAUCUAUGGAGGUGGAGAUCCACAGAGUGAUUAUGUCAUUAUAUACUCUCUUCAUUCUGUCUCUGUUGGUGAUUAACCACCAUAUUGACAAUGGUUCAGAGUCACACCAGAUUGAAUUUACACUAAAUCGAAGUGAUACCAGAUUUAGUUCAUACUAAACUGAAGUUGCACUAGAUUAAAUUCACACUAAACUAAAGUCAUACCACAUUCAGUUCACACUAAACUGAAAUCACACCAGAUUAUAUUCACACUAUACUGAAAUCACACCAGAUUAUUAUUUUUUUUUCACACUGAUAUCACACCGGACGAAUUUCCCACCAGAUUAUAUUCCUGCCAUAACAGAAUCGAGACCACACCCGAUUAUGAUCCAGGUCUUGUGCACCAGAAGUUGGGAGAAGGUUAUGAGGGGCCGUAUAGGAUGACCACAGCUGCAGGGCGCGUUCCACCCCCAUGAUGUGUCGUAGAAUCCACGCUGCCACGGCCCCAACGUGACCAGACAAAGGCCUCUGUAAACCAAAACCAUGCUGAUUCCGCCCAUAAAAAAAAAGAUGACUAUUCCCUGUCAGCAUUUUUAUGGCGAUGCUUAGGCUUAAAGCGAAGCUACUCCCAGUUCAGCUUGGCUCGUAGACCAGCCAGGAUCGAGACCCAGAGCCAAGGCCAUUGCACGCUCGGAUUAUGGUUUCAAUGAAACAUGCAAAUAACGUGACCCUUCACAAUCAAGUGUAAUAAAUUGUACAGGAUGCCAACAAUUUUUUUACUACUUUUUUUCAAUAGAUAGAUUUUUUUUUUUAUAAAAACAAAUCAAGAAUAGAUCCAUCUGUGUUUUCGUGGGCCCUGGCCGAUGAGUGAGUCAUCUCUUUUAACAGAUUCCCUGAACCUGAGUCUCUCUCAUGCUCGUGUGAAGCCGUUGAAGCGAGAUACAGGCGCGAUAGGCUCCGGUUGCAGCAUUGUUCCGCCGGGUGGUGGUGGGGCGGUGAACCACUUGUUAUGUUUCGCUCGAUGCCUGGAUGUGUCGGUGGGGCGAGGCCGCGGGGGGGAUGACAGGUGGCGGCUGAGAGCGACGGGGUGCAAGGGUGCAGGAGCACGCAUUCAUCUGGGGUGUCCCGGUUUUGAGUAUAGGAAAUGAAGUCUUUACUGGGGGCUGAACCGGUUGUGAAGAAUCUUCCCCACCGGAAAUGGAAACUUAAGGUUUAUCUAUGGAAGACUAAAGUGCAUUCACCCGAAGUCAUGACCGCCAGAUCAGCACGAUGCCCCAACACUUUCAGGUCAUGGGAAGCUGAGUGAACCGGUUUGGUGUGGCAGUAAGACUCUGACAUGGAGCUGUGAGUUUCCCUUUGCCCUUACCUGCUGUCAAACACCUAUUCUCCAGUCCCACUUUAAUGCCAUCAUUUGGGGUUUGGAUCAAAUACGUGUCAGAAUGUACAUAACAUAAAAAACAUAAAACCCUUUCUUAUAAUUGAUUUUGCUUUUGAAUUGGAUUAAAUCUGUUUUCUCCCACAGGGCUUCAACUGGACAACAUCACACAGGACCCAGGAGAAUACGACUAUUCAAAACUCCACAGACUACUACCUAUUCUUUGACAAUGAAACGGUGAUUGACUAUGACGACUGGGGAAGUGGUUCAGCCGACCAGACGGUUGUCGGUAUGGGUCAGGUGACCCUGGUUCUGCUGCUUGGAUUGGCUUUCCCACAUGUCCUUCAUUGAGUGGGCGGGCUUUAAGCCUCCAGAUCUUCGGCCCAGCCAGAGAGGGACAAGUUUGAAGCGUCCAAUCAGAAGGAGAGACCAUGGUACCUGUCUGAGCUCCGUCGACUCCAGCACCGCCCAGCACGAUUACUAUUCCCCACAGUUGGACAUCGUUUCCAUCAUGGCUAAGAAACAUGCAUUCAAAUGAUAUUUUGCAGUUUAUUUUUAUAAAUAAAGGUUUGUUCAAAUCCCUGGUUCAACCCCAAGUUCCCCGGUGAUCAGAGAUGCACAUCGGUGAACAGUCGUUGUCGUACAUUGCAUGACGGGUAUGAGGAUGUGGAGCACUAUUCAGGGACCCUGAUUGGUUGACUGUUUAGGACGCGUCACUGUCAUAUCUCACAGGGUACAGCGGACAUGUUUGAACCCAUCUGGAUCUCAUCUCUGAAUGCGCCACACUUAGCAGCAUCACUUCAUUAAGGCCCCGUUUACACAAAG